GAUGAACGCUGGCGGCGUGCCUAAUACAUGCAAGUCGAGCGAACGGACGAGAAGCUUGCUUCUCUGAUGUUAGCGGCGGACGGGUGAGUAACACGUGGAUAACCUACCUAUAAGACUGGGAUAACUUCGGGAAACCGGAGCUAAUACCGGAUAAUAUUUUGAACCGCAUGGUUCAAAAGUGAAAGACGGUCUUGCUGUCACUUAUAGAUGGAUCCGCGCUGCAUUAGCUAGUUGGUAAGGUAACGGCUUACCAAGGCAACGAUGCAUAGCCGACCUGAGAGGGUGAUCGGCCACACGGGAACUGAGACACGGUCCAGACUCCUACGGGAGGCAGCAGUAGGGAAUCUUCCGCAAUGGGCGAAAGCCGGACGGAGCAACGCCGCGUGAGUGAUGAAGGUCUUCGGAUCGUAAAACUCUGUUAUUAGGGAAGAACAUAUGUGUAAGUAACUGUGCACAUCUUGACGGUACCUAAUCAGAAAGCCACGGCUAACUACGUG
rnacentral:rRNA from 1 species